CCUACGGGAGGCAGCAGUGGGGAAUAUUGCACAAUGGGCGCAAGCCUGAUGCAGCAACGCCGCGUGAGGGACGACGGCCUUCGGGUUGUAAACCUCUUUUAGUAGGGAAGAAGCGAAAGUGACGGUACCUGCAGAAAAAGCACCGGCUAACUACGUGCCAGCAGCCGCGGUAAUACGUAGGGUGCAAGCGUUAUCCGGAAUUAUUGGGCGUAAAGAGCUCGUAGGCGGUUUGUCGCGUCUGCUGUGAAAACUGGAGGCUCAACCUCCAGCCUGCAGUGGGUACGGGCAAACUAGAGUGCGGUAGGGGAGAUUGGAAUUCCUGGUGUAGCGGUGGAAUGCGCAGAUAUCAGGAGGAACACCGAUGGCGAAGGCAGAUCUCUGGGCCGUAAACUGACGCUGAGGAGCGAAAGCAUGGGGAGCGAACAGGAUUUAGAUACCCUGGUAGUCCAUGCGUAACGU
rnacentral:rRNA from 1 species